UACGGGGGGGGCAAGCGUUGUUCGGAAUUACUGGGCGUAAAGGGCUCGUAGGCGGCCAACUAAGUCAGACGUGAAAUCCCUCGGCUUAACCGGGGAACUGCAUCUGAUACUGGAUGGCUUGAGUUCGGGAGAGGGAUGCGGAAUUCCAGGUGUAGCGGUGGAAUGCGUAGAGAUCCGGAGGAAGACCGGUGGCGAAGGCGGCCUGCUGGGACGUUGUCUGACACUGAGGCGCGACAGCGUGGGGGAGCAAACAGG
rnacentral:rRNA from 1 species